GCGGGAGUAGCUCAGUUGGUAGAGCAUCAGCCUUCCAAGCUGAAUGUCGCGUUCGAGCCUCGUCUCCCGCU
rnacentral:tRNA from 1 species